AGAGAGAGACAUGCGCGCAUAUCAAUAAGCGGAGGAAAAGAAACUAACAAGGAUUCCCCUAGUAACGGCGAGUGAAGCGGGAAGAGCUCAAAUUUGAAAUCUUAAAGGGUUUCCCUUUACGAAUUGUAGUUUAAAGAAGUGUUUUCUGUUGAGGUUUUGGUAAAAGUUCUUUGGAAUAGGACAUCAUAGAGGGUGAGAAUCCCGUAUUUGACCUUUACUUUCAACUUUGUGAUACACUUUCAAAGAGUCGGAUUGUUUGGGAAUGCAGUCCAAAAUGGGUGGUAAAUUUCAUCUAAAGCUAAAUAUUGGCGAGAGACCGAUAGCGAACAAGUACCGUGAGGGAAAGAUGAAAAGAACUUUGAAAAGAGAGUUAAACAGCUACGUGAAAUUGUCAAAAGGGAAGCGUUUGACACCAGUGUUGUUUUUCUGAAAAUCAAUUAAAGAACUGUUUAUGCUAAGCUGUUUAGACUUUAUCAGCUAACUGUUUAGUUUUGAGCUUUUCUUUAAUGCACUUUUCAGUUAACAAGUCAACAUCAAUUUCUUUUGCUGUAAAAAAGCUUGAGGAAGGUGGCUUGAGAUUCGUCUUAAGUGUUUAUAGCCUCUUGCCUAUGCAGUCGGAGAGAUUGAGGUCUGCAGCGUAGAUCCUUCGGGGCUAAAUGCAUUUGUGCUAAGUUAUAGCAUUUUAUAGACAACUUGUUGACUAUGAUUUGUCUUGUAGCUUACUCGCUUAUGUUAUUUUACCUACGCUUAGGAUGUUGAGCGCAUGUCUCUCUCU
rnacentral:rRNA from 1 species